rnacentral:lncRNA from 10 species
CUUGGGUUGGGCUGUCUGCAUGCACAUGCUUGAGUCCACUUUCCCAACUCCAGGAAGCUGCUGAUCACUAGUUUCAGGUGUUUUCUAUGUAGCAGGAGAUGGCCUUUCCCUGGCACUGGCUGUGACCAAUUAUUAUUUUAGAGAGACAGUUAACAACGGCCUGACCAUUACUGACCAUUACCUGAUUGUCACCUGACAUUCCUGAUGUGUGUGACAGGAGGUGGGGGGGGAGUGUGAAGUCGGAGAGAGCCCUCUUCUACCCUGCUUAUGCCUGAUGAGCUACCUACUAUAACAGAAAUCUUAGAGUGAGAGGACAUAAUUUUCUCCUUCCAAUAUCUCCUUCUGGCUGACUAAGAUAAAAUGGAUAAAUGGGUAAGAUAUUUGGAACUUGGAUCAUAAAAUGGAGUUACAUGUUGAGAAUUGCAGUGCAUUGAGAAGCAUGGUGUCCAGGUUAUCUGCCAAUAGUCAAGCCUCUAUGCAGGCUUUUAACUGUGUAUGUUUACAUAAGCAUGAGAGACAGAUAUAUUUCUAUUUUGUUUAAAACACUCUUAUUUUUGGUUUACAAAUUGUUGUAGCUGAACUUAAUACACGGGAACAUUUUCAAAAGAGGGCUGGGCACAGUGGCUCACUCCUGUAAUUCCAGCAUUGGGAGGCAGAGUUGGGAGGAUUGUUUGAGGCCAGGAGUUUGAGGCCAACUUGGGCAACAUAGUGAAAUCCAGUCUCUGUAAAAGACUUAAAAAUUAGCUGGGCAUGGUUGCAUAUGCCUGUAGACCCAGCUACUUGGGAGGCUGAAGAAGAAGGAUCACUUGAGCCCAAGAGGUUGAGGCUGCAGUGAGCUAUUAUUUCACCACUGCAUGCCAGCCAGGGUGACAGAGUGAAAAAGUCUCAAAAAAAAAAAAAAAAAAAAAAAAAAGAAAAGAGUACACAACUUUCAUAAUUUCAUAAUUUUUCUUUCAAGAACAGCUAAUAAAAAUAUUUUGAGCUUGCUUACCAUAAACUUCACAAUCAUGUAUGGUAGAUUUGAUUUUGGGUGAUGAUCAGGGAGUGCCUACCUAGUUGGCCACUAGUUAAUUUUUGUAUAAAUACAGGGUUUGCUUGAUCAACAACUUGAAUAUUUUAUACUAAGUAUCUAAACUAAUCCUUUUAUUUUCACUGAAAACUGUUAUAUUUCC